UCCAUUCCCUGCUCUGGGAGUUCUGUGGUGAGUUGGAAGGGAACCCUGGAAAAAGCCCUGAGAGGCCUGACUGGGUUCAAGGCCAUACCGCUGAUACGUGAAGGCCAUGUUGACAGCUGUGAAGAAAGCUGGAUAGCGAAGUCCUGGGGCAUCACUGCUUGAUGGCAAGGACUUCAAAGUCAGGGCCACAGGAGAGGUGCUUGACAGUCCUGUUCAUUCUCUUCUGAUAGCCUGGAAGCCAGCUCCCUCUUGUCCUCUGUGGGUGCCAUGUCCUAGUGCAGAUGUCAAAACAAACCUUGUGACGAGGACAGGAAGCAGCCUUCCUAUGAGACCAGCCACCCACUUAAGCUGUUUGGCUGUGGCUGGUCUUCUGGUGCAAGGGCUUAGGUGCGGAGGCCUGACUGAGCUGUGCUACUCCCUGGAAACCAACUUCAAUACCAUGCCUCCGAGAAUCCCCAGAGAGCACAACUACCUCCGUUCCCAUAACUGGAGAAGGGACCGGCCUUGCAGUAUGAUGAGAGGCAAGGGAAGACUUCAGCAUGGACGCCCUGGAUGGGAUAACAGUGAGCUACCCACCCCUGAAGUCACUAGGGCUGAGGAGUACUGUUUGCUUCAGAAAUCUGUCAUCACGCAGGACCAGGUGGGUUCCUUAAUACUAGAGCCACCUGAGAAGCCCAGCAGGGGAUGAUCCAGAGGCAAUUCUUGAGAGCUACUUGGCACCAAAGGAACGUUCUGGAGUGGAAUGGAAGAUCAAAUUUCCAACUAAGUCCUGUAAUGUAAAGAAUGUUGCUCCCAAAUAGGAGAUGGGGUAUCCAUCAAACUCCUGAGCUAUUAUUUAAUAAAUGUUGGAACAAUUUAUUAUUUAAAUUGUUUUUAUUUAAUUAAUUAAUUAUUUAUGGAUAUUAUUUAAUUAAGUGAUGUGGGAAUAAUUAGAUAAUAAGAUCUUAGAUCACACCAAAGCCAAAAAUUAAUUCCAGAUGGAUUGAAUUGCUAAUUGUGAAAAAAAAAGUAGCAGGUAAAAAAAUGAAAUUGUCACAUAUAAGGUACAACAUAGGAGGAUUUUUUCCCCCCUAAUAAUCUUGCGGCUGUCCCAAGCAAGAUAUGAAACCCAGAAGUCAUAAAAGGAAAAAAAUGCUAGAUUGAACCACACAGAAAUUAACAAAGUUACCCUAAAUAAUAGCCAAGAUACAAACAACAGACAACCAGGAGGAAAUACUUGCAAUACAUGUAACAGAUCCCCCUAAGUAGAAAAAGAACACCAACAAACUAAUACGAAAAGGCAAAACAAUCCAAUAGGAAAAGAUCAAAGGAUAUGACUAAGGACUUCAUGGAAGAAAUCAGAUCAGAUUAGAUCAGUCGCUCAGUUGUGUCCGACUCUUUUCGACCCCAUGAAUCGCAGCACACCAGGCCUCCCUGUCCAUCACCAACUCCCGGAGUUCACUCAGAC
rnacentral:lncRNA from 1 species